AACGAUUGUUUCAUGUCUUAUCUUUCUAUUUUCUUCUAUUAUCACAUCGUCUUUAAUCCUUUUCUUUUUGGCUUUGGCUUUGGACUACCAGGAUCAUGCGACGAUCUUUUAUUCGGAUCGAUUUCUGUGAUCUUCCUCGGAUCGAAAUAUUCAUGAUCUUUCUCGAAUCAAAGUGGCCAUGAUCUUUCUCGGAUCAAAUCAUUCAUGAUCUUUCUCGGAUC
rnacentral:lncRNA from 1 species